AACGAACGCUGGCGGCAGGCCUAACACAUGCAAGUCGAGCGCCCUUUCGGGGGAGCGGCGGCCGGGUGAGUAACGCGUGGGAAUAUGCCCUUCUCUACGGAAUAGCCUCGGGAAACUGAGAGUAAUACCGUAUACGCCCUAUGGGGGAAAGAUUUAUCGGGGAAGGAUUAGCCCGCGUUGGAUUAGGUAGUUGGUGGGGUAAUGGCCUACCAAGCCGACGAUCCAUAGCUGGUUUGAGAGGAUGAUCAGCCACACUGGGACUGAGACACGGCCCAGACUCCUACGGGAGGCAGCAGUGGGGAAUCUUAGACAAUGGGGGCAAUCCUGAUCGAGCCAUGCCGCGUGAGUGAUGAAGGCCUUAGGGUUGUAAAGCUCUUUCAGCUGGGAAGAUAAUGACGGUACCAGCAGAAGAAGCCCCGGCUAACUCCGUG
rnacentral:rRNA from 1 species